AUGAGGGGCGGCGCCUCGGCGGGCCACCCGCGAUGGGGCUCCGCGGGGACGACGCCGCGGUCGCUCAGCACGGGCUCCUCGCCGCGCGGCUCCGAGCCGGCCUCCGAGGACGGGGAAGAGCUGGUGGAGGUCACGCUCGACCUGCAGGACGACGACACCAUUGUGCUGCGGAGCGUGGAGCCGGCCGCGGCGGCGGCGCUGGGCUCGGGCUCGGGGGCGCUGAGGCUGCCGGUGCCGGCGCGGGGCGAGCUGGGGGACGGCGGCGCCUGCGGCGCGUCGUCGUCGUCGUCGCGGUCGCCGUCGAUGCGCCGGACGUCGUCGUACCGGCUGCUGCAGCUGUCGCAGGAGCUCAUGGCCGGCGCGCGGCACUUCUCGCACGACCUCACCAGGCGGUUCAGCCGCAGCCACAGCCACAGCCGCGACGAGGCCCACCAGCAGCCGUCGUCCGGCAUCGAGUCGGCGCUCGCCGCCCGCGCCGCGCGCCGGCAGCGCGCGCAGCUGGACCGCACGCGCUCCGGCGCGCACCGGGCGCUCCGCGGCCUCCGCUUCAUCAGCAGCAACAAGGCCAGCAACGCGUGGAGGGAGGUGCAGGCCAACUUCGACCGCCUCGCCCGCGACGGCUACCUCUCCCGCUCCGACUUCGCGGAAUGCAUCGGUACGGCACCCCAUCGUCCCGCCCGCCUCUCCAUUUCGCUCCGCUCGAACCCUAUCCAAGGAAUUCAAACACCGGCGAGGCGCGCUGCUGCAGGGAUGACGGAGUCCAAGGAGUUCGCGGUGGAGCUGUUCGACACGCUGAGCCGGCGGCGGCAGAUGAAGCUGGACACGAUCAGCAAGGAGGAGCUGCGGGAAAUCUGGCAGCAGAUCACCGACAACAGCUUCGACUCCCGCCUCCAAAUCUUCUUCGACAUGGUGGAUAAGAAUGCGGACGGCCGGAUCGGGGAGGCGGAGGUGAAAGAGAUCAUCAUGCUGAGCGCGUCGGCCAAUAAGCUGUCGAGGCUUAAGGAGCAGGCGGAGGAGUACGCCGCGUUGAUCAUGGAGGAGCUCGACCCCGAAGAGCUGGGAUACAUCGAGCUUUGGCAAUUGGAGACACUUCUGCUGCAGAAAGACACCUACGUGAACUACAGCCAGGCGUUAAGUUACACAAGCCAGGCACUGAGCCAAAACUUGGCGCUAAGGAAGAAGGGCUCCAUCCGCAAAAUAGGCAACUCCCUGAUCUACUAUUUGGAGGACAACUGGAAACGCUUGUGGGUGCUCGCGUUGUGGAUUGGAAUCAUGGCUGGACUCUUCACCUGGAAGUUCAUCCAGUACCGCGAGCGCUAUGUCUUUAAAGUGAUGGGCUACUGCGUGACAACUGCAAAGGGCGCCGCUGAAACCUUGAAGCUGAACAUGGCAAUCAUCCUCCUGCCGGUGUGCCGCAAUACCAUUACUUGGCUGCGGAAUACAAGGGCUGCACGUGUAUUGCCAUUUGAUGACAAUAUCAACUUCCACAAGACUAUUGCAGCAGCAAUUGUGGUUGGUGUUAUUCUCCAUGCAGGGAACCACCUUGUAUGCGAUUUUCCACGGCUUAUACGUUCAUCAGAAGAAAUGUACGCUCCUUUGGGAAUUUAUUUCGGGGAAACAAAGCCAACAUAUCUUGCAUUGAUCAAAGGAGUCGAGGGCGUCACCGGGAUAAUCAUGGUUGUGUGCAUGAUAAUUGCUUUUACUUUAGCAACCCGGUGGUUCCGGCGUAGCCUAGUAAAGCUUCCAAAACCAUUUGACAAACUGACUGGCUUCAAUGCUUUCUGGUACUCCCACCAUUUGUUUGCCAUUGUGUACGUGGCUCUCAUUGUUCAUGGCCAGUUUCUGUACCUUAUUCGUGUCUGGUACAGAAAAUCGACAUGGAUGUAUCUUGCAGUGCCUGUGUGCUUGUAUCUAGGGGAGAGGAUUCUAAGGUUCUUCAGGUCUGGCAGUUAUGCUGUCCGGCUCUUGAAGGUGGCCAUUUAUCCUGGUAAUGUCUUGACGCUGCAAAUGACCAAACCUGCGACCUUUCGCUAUAAAAGUGGGCAAUAUAUGUUUGUUCAGUGUCCAGCAGUGUCGCCCUUUGAAUGGCACCCCUUCUCAAUUACUUCAGCACCUGGGGAUGAAUAUCUCAGCAUCCAUGUUCGGCAACUUGGUGACUGGACACGAGAGCUCAAGAGAGUAUUUUCCGCGGCCUGCGAGCCCCCAGUGAGUGGAAAAAGUGGUCUUCUUAGAGCAGACGAGACAACUAAGAAAACCUUACCCAAGCUUCUGAUCGAUGGCCCUUAUGGUUCUCCUGCUCAGGAUUACGGCAAGUAUGAUGUUUUACUACUUGUUGGAUUAGGAAUUGGUGCUACACCCUUUAUCAGCAUUUUGAAAGAUCUCCUCAACAACAUCAUUAAGAUGGAGGAAGAGGAGGAUACUUCUACGGAUCUCUAUCCACCAAUUGGUCGGAAUAAGCCACAUGUUGAUCUGGGUACGCUUAUGAGGGUUACCUCAAGACCAAGGAAGGUUUUAAAGACUACAAAUGCUUACUUUUAUUGGGUGACACGUGAGCAAGGCUCUUUUGAUUGGUUCAAAGGAGUCAUGAAUGAGAUUGCCGACAUGGAUCAAAGGAAUAUCAUUGAGAUGCACAACUACCUCACAAGCGUUUACGAGGAAGGGGAUGCUCGGUCAGCGCUCAUCACUAUGCUUCAAGCUCUGAACCAUGCCAAGAAUGGUGUCGAUGUUGUCUCUGGAACUAAAGUUCGGACACAUUUUGCAAGACCAAAUUGGAAAAAGGUCCUAGCCAAAAUUGCCUCAAAGCACCCGUAUGCGAAGAUAGGUGUCUUCUACUGUGGAGCUCCAGUCCUGGCACAAGAACUUGCCAAGCUUUGCCACGAGUUCAAUGGGAAAUGCACCACAAAAUUCGAGUUCCACAAGGAGUAUUUCUGA
rnacentral:rRNA from 1 species